GCUCGAAAGAGAACCGGCGCACAGGUGCUGCAUGGCUGUCGUCAGCUCGUGUCGUGAGAUGUUGGGUUAAGUCCCGCAACGAGCGCAACCCUUGUCCUUAGUUGCUACGCAAGAGCACUCUAAGGAGACUGCCGGUGACAAACCGGAGGAAGGUGGGGAUGACGUCAAGUCCUCAUGGCCCUUAUGGGUAGGGCUUCACACGUCAUACAAUGGUCGGAACAGAGGGUUGCCAACCCGCGAGGGGGAGCUAAUCCCAGAAAACCGAUCGUAGUCCGGAUUGCACUCUGCAACUCGAGUGCAUGAAGCUGGAAUCGCUAGUAAUCGCGGAUCAGCAUGCCGCGGUGAAUACGUU
rnacentral:rRNA from 1 species